AUGAACGCUGGCGGCGUGCUUAACACAUGCAAGUCGAACGGAAAGGCCCAAGCUUGCUUGGGUACUCGAGUGGCGAACGGGUGAGUAACACGUGGGUGAUCUGCCCUGCACUUCGGGAUAAGCCUGGGAAACUGGGUCUAAUACUGGAUAGGACCACUUCUUGGAUGGUGUGGUGGAAAGUUUUUUCGGUGUGGGAUGAGCUCGCGGCCUAUCAGCUUGUUGGUGGGGUAAUGGCCUACCAAGGCGUCGACGGGUAGCCGGCCUGAGAGGGUGUACGGCCACAUUGGGACUGAGAUACGGCCCAGACUCCUACGGGAGGCAGCAGUGGGGAAUAUUGCACAAUGGGCGCAAGCCUGAUGCAGCGACGCCGCGUGGGGGAUGACGGCCUUCGGGUUGUAAACUCCUUUCGCUAGGGACGAAGCGUUUUUGUGACGGUACCUGGAGAAGAAGCACCGGCUAACUACGUG
rnacentral:rRNA from 1 species